GUGGGGAAUAUUGGACAAUGGGCGAAAGCCUGAUCCAGCCAUGCCGCGUGUGUGAAGAAGGUCUUCGGAUUGUAAAGCACUUUAAGUUGGGAGGAAGGGCAGUAAGUUAAUACCUUGCUGUUUUGACGUUACCGACAGAAUAAGCACCGGCUAACUUCGUGCCAGCAGCCGCGGUAAUACGAAGGGUGCAAGCGUUAAUCGGAAUUACUGGGCGUAAAGCGCGCGUAGGUGGUUUUGUAAGUUGGAGGUGAAAUCCCCGGGCUCAACCUGGGAACUGCCUCCAAAACUGCAUGACUAGAGUACGGUAGAGGGUAGAGGAAUUUCCUGUGUAGCGGUGAAAUGCGUAGAUAUAGGAAGGAACACCAGUGGCGAAGGCGACUACCUGGACUGAUACUGACACUGAGGUGCGAAAGCGUGGGGAGCAAACAGGAUUAGAAACCCGUGUAGUCC
rnacentral:rRNA from 1 species